rnacentral:miRNA from 1 species
UUAAAAGGUAUGUCUGACACAAUUUUUUAAGAUCGGUUAUAAAAGAACCGAUCUGAAAAGUUGUAUCAAACAUAACUUUUAA